UUUUUUUUUUUUUUUUUUUUUUGCUUUUUAGGGCUGCCCUCUCGGCAUAUGGAAGUUCCCAGGCUAGGGGUCCAUUCCGAGCUACGGCAGCCGGCCUACACCACAGGCACAGCAACGCGGGAUCUGAGCCGCAUCUGUGACCUACACCACAGCUCACGGCAACGCCGGAUCCUUAACCCACUGAGCAAGGCCAGGGAUCGAACCUGCAACCACAUGGUUCCUAGUCAGAUUCCUUUUCAGUGCGCCACGACGAGAACUCCCCAUAGGCCGUUUUCAAAGGGGCAUCUAAAGAUGUUCUACGAUGUGCCCAGCCGUGGCAAGAGGGAAUACUGAGUGGCGGUGAGCAGGCCCCUGGCUCUCUAGCCUCGAACACAUGUCAUUCCAAUUUGUGCUGCGGCCAGAUGACAAUCUGCUACCUGUGAGAGACCUCCGGUUUGUUCCUCAACACCCGAACUGCAAAAUCUAAUUCACUAAAUUUUUUACUAGUAAAAUUUAGGAGUGUUUUAAUUUUAUUGAGGACUAAGUGACAAAUAGAGCUGUAUGUAUUUAAAAGGGACAGUGUGAUGAUGUGAUAUGGGUAAGACGUUGUGGAGUGAUUACCAAGAUCAAGAUAACUAAUUUACUAAUUUAAAAUUGAGCUACUUGCUGAAGAGGGAACUUAGACCUUUGAUGUGAAGUCUGAUUUAGACAUCCAAUUAUGUUUUUGAGAAAUUCGGCUUCAUCGGGCCAGGGAUUGAGUUGAUAAAAACAGCAAAUGAAAUAGCACCUAGAUUUGACCAAACGCAUAAAGCUUUGUGCUUCUCAACCCAGGUUGCACAUUUGAAACUUCUGGGCGCUUUAAAAACUCCUAAGACUCAGGCCACACUGGAAAUCUAUCAGUGCAUCUCUCUGGGGGUGGAGCCCAGGCAUCAGUGCUCUGGAAGGCUCCUCAGGUGAUCCUAUCCUGCUGUCAAGGCUGGUACCCACUGCUCUGGAUGCAAGUAGAGGAAAGGAGAAUGGAUCCAUCACAGAAGUCUGCAGAAGCUUGAUACUUUGAAAAGUGUGUAAAGCUUUGGAUCUCCACUUCCUCUUAUUCUAGAGCAGAAGGCAUUUUAGGAGUUCUGAUUUAGCCCAGAAAUGUGAAUUGUUCUGUUUAGAAAGCACGUGUGGGCAAUGUCACGAUGAAAUCACUCUAGCCAUCUGGCGAUGCAACAGGAAGUUAUUCUGGUUUCGAAUAACAUGAAACAAGCAGGAUGAGGCUGCAGUAAAAACUUAUCAAAAUAGCUUUGAGUUUCUGAGCAGUAUAGAAGAGUGUUCGUCUUUUCCAAAGGGAUUAUUUCCUCCUCUUCUGUUUUUCCAUAGAAAACAUUUCUUAAGCUAAGGUUUAAUUUAAUUUGGGUCUGUUAUUUUUAGAAAUAAAAUAAAGCCUAAUACUGUAAAGGCUUUAAGAAAAACGUAAAACUCCACUUCUUAUUCUAAUGGAGGAGAAUGCAUAAAUCCAAUUAAUGGGCAUUUGAAAUAAAUAUUGAUACCCUAUUAAAACUGAAACAGCUUUAAAAUGUAUGAAGGACUUGGUGGGUACUGGGCCAAGUCAGGAACCUGAAGCAUUGAUCUCGGCAAGUGGGUGAGGGGAAAAUAAUCCCUAUAAUAUGCUCUUAUAUCACUUAGUGGGUAAGGUAUUUUGAGGCAAUUACCUGACUGUUUGGUCUUCACACCGUUUUGUUUAUUUUAUUGGUUGUGUGUCUUUUAAUAGGUUUUUCAAGUGCUUUGGCCAAGCCUGUGGCAUGCAGAAGUUCCCAGGCCAGGAAAUGAACCUGCACCAUGGCAGUGACCCAAGCCACAGUAGUGCCAAUGCCAGGUCCUUAACCUACUGAGCCACCAGGGAAGUCUGAGUUUUUUCGUUUGUUUGUUUUUUUGUUUUUAAGGGCUGUGCCUGGGACUAUGAGUCAAAUUGGAGCUUCAGCCACCAGCCUACACCACAGCUCACGGCAAUGCCAGAUCCUUAACCCACUGAGUGAAGCCAGGUAUGGAACCCGAAACCUCAUGGAUCCUGGUUGGGUUCAUUAACCACUGAGCCACGAAGGGAACUCCUGAGUUCUAUUUUCUUAACCUCUCCAUAUAUGAAGAAUGUCUUUAAGCCCUGCCAUCACCCCACCCCGCCCCACCCUCAGCCAUAAAGGACACUAUAGGGGUAAAUCUGAGUGUUGCCCUUGAAUACAAAAAUAUGUAGGAACGUUAUCCAUUACUUAAACUUUUUAUUUUGGGAAAGUUGUAGAUUCACAGGCAAUUGUGAGAAAUGAGGCAGAGAGAGCCUGUGUUCCAUUCCCCUGUUUCUCCCAAUGGUAACACCUUGAAAACUGUAGUAGAACCAGGAUAUUGACAUGGGUACAGACAAGACUGAGGACCCUUCCAUCACCACCACCAAGAAUCCCCCUGGUUGUCCCUUUUUGCGAUUACCACCCCCCCCACCAGCUCUCCUUGUCCACACCUCUUAACUCAUGGCAACUACGAUGUCCUCCAUUUUUGUUGGAGUUCCUGAUGUGGUUCAGUGGGUGAAAAACCUGACCAGUAUCCAUGCAGAUUCAGGUUCCAUCCAUGGUCUCACUCAGUUGGUUAAGGAUCUGGCGUUGCCAGAUCUGGGGCAUAAGAAGCAGAUGUAGCCCGGAUCCAGUAUUGCUGUGGCUGUGGUAUAGGCCAGCGGCCACAGCUCCAAUUCGACCCCCAACCUAGGAGCUUCCCUAUGCUAAAGGUGCAGCUAUAAAAAGGAAAAAACCCAACCUAAAUGUCCAUCGACAGAUGAUUGGAUUAGGAAGAUGUGGUAUAUAUACACAAUGGAAUACUACUCAGCCAUAAAAAGAAUGACAUAAUGCCAUGUGCAGCAACAUGGAUGGAACUAGAGACUCUCAUACUGAGUGAAAUAGGUCAGAAAGAGAAAGGCAAAUACCAUAUGAUAUCACUUAUAACUGGAAUCUAAUAUACAGCACAAAUGAACAUUUUCACAGAAAAGAAAAUCACAGACUUGGAGAACAGACUUGUGGCUGCCUAGGGGUAGAGGGAGGGAGUUGGGGGAUUGGGAGCUUGGGGUUAAUGGAUGCAAACUAUUGCUCUUAGAAUGGAUUUACAAUGAGAUCCUGCUGUGUAGCAUUGAGAACUAUGUCUAGAUACUUACAUCACAACACAACAAUGGGAGGAAAAAUUAUGUAAACAUGUAUGUGUAACUUGGUCCCCAUGCUGUGCAGUGGGAAAAAAAAUAAAUAA
rnacentral:lncRNA from 1 species